GCGUGCUUAACACAUGCAAGUCGAACGGAAAGGCCAGUGCUUGCACUGGUACUCGAGUGGCGAACGGGUGAGUAACACGUGGGUGAUCUGCCUUGCACUCUGGGAUAAGCUUGGGAAACUGGGUCUAAUACCGGAUAUGARCYGCYUUUAGUGUGGUGGUUGGAAAGUUUUUUCGGUGCAAGAUGAGCUCGCGGCCUAUCAGCUUGUUGGUGGGGUAAUGGCCUACCAAGGCGUCGACGGGUAGCCGGCCUGAGAGGGUGUACGGCCACAUUGGGACUGAGAUACGGCCCAGACUCCUACGGGAGGCAGCAGUGGGGAAUAUUGCACAAUGGGCGGAAGCCUGAUGCAGCGACGCCGCGUGGGGGAUGACGGCCUUCGGGUUGUAAACUCCUUUCGACAGGGACGAAGCGCAAGUGACGGUACCUGUAUAAGAAGCACCGGCUAACUACGUGCCAGCAGCCGCGGUAAUACGUAGGGUGCGAGCGUUGUCCGGAAUUACUGGGCGUAAAGAGCUCGUAGGUGGUUUGUCGCGUCGUCUGUGAAAUUCCGGGGCUUAACUUCGGGCGUGCAGGCGAUACGGGCAUAACUUGAGUGCUGUAGGGGAGACUGGAAUUCCUGGUGUAGCGGUGAAAUGCGCAGAUAUCAGGAGGAACACCGAUGGCGAAGGCAGGUCUCUGGGCAGUUACUGACGCUGAGGAGCGAAAGCAUGGGUAGCAA
rnacentral:rRNA from 1 species